UCUCUGUGGUCUUUACUGUCUACAUCUGUAGCGGCUCUCCCUGACCUUCGUCGACAACAACAUAUCUUGAAGCAGUCCUACACCCGAGGGUACAUCCGAGUCUCCGUCAUCAAACCAUCUGUCAGUUAUACAACCCUUAUGCUCCUCGGACCAAGCCUAGGUAAUCUUGAUUGAUGUCCCUAUUACUCAUUAAUUUCUGUUCUUACUAAAAUGCCUAACUUUUCUCUCUCUAGACCAAGCCUAGAUUUUUUGAUACUGCUCCUCAAACCAAGCUUAAGUAAUCUUGUUUGAUGCCACUACUGCUCAUCAAACCUCAAUCUCUCUAAACUACUUCUAUCUUUCUGAGCUCUGUUAUCAACCUAUGAUAGAGAAAAAGAUCUGACUCUAAUAAAAAUUAAAAGCUUAUGACUGAUACUACAUCUUCCUCCUCGGGCUCUGAAUGAAACGUUAGGGGAAAAGGAUCUCCCUCUCCAGGCUCUGAUACCACAUAGUAUACCACGAUACCACUUAGUACCAUGAUAUCAAGGCCUUCGUAGGCUCUGAUACCAUGGACCGCACAAGUAUCAAGGAUCGUGGGUGCCCAAGGACUGACUCUGAGGGAGCUUUUCGAUUAAAGGAAGAACUGUAGUAUUUCUAACCAAUAGGAUUUAUAUGAUAAGAUCUAUGAGCAGGAUCUUACUCACUCAAAGAGUGAGGCCCACCAAGACACUACUAACAGACCACAAAUCAGAGUUAUCCUAUGGCUUGACUCCUAACCUAAGAUUUAUAAAAUAAAAUCUAAGAGUAGAAUCUUGCUCACAGAGUGAGGCCCACCAAGAUACUGCUAAUAGACUACAGGUUAAACUUUCCUAGGGUACCUAUGUACCUAUUCUUGACUCUAAACCUAAGGUUUAUGUGCUAGAACCUCUAAGUAAUAUCUUGCUUACUCUAAGGUAAUAGAGAGUCAGGCCCGCCAAGAUACCACAAACAGAUUACAGACUAACUAUGAACUAUAAACUAAUACCAUUAAAGACUAUAGUUCAAGUGUGUGAACCUUCACAACUAGAAUCUCCUAUGAUAUGGCUAUAGUACUCAGUUCAGUGAAAUCAAACUCUAGACCUAGACCCUCGGCUGGACUCUAGACAUUGAAUGACUCUUCUAAUAUACAACCUAGACUCUAAGACUCUCUAGGACUUGCUAAAAGUUAGUGAAUUCUUUAAAACAUACUAAGAGUUAGAACUGACUCUUUAAGACACUCUAGACUCUCCUAAUGGUUAGGGUGGAGGGUGAAACCUAAGACUGGUCUCUAAGGUCAGACAUUGUGGGCAACACCUAUGGGUUGGAUACUGGUUGGACAACACUAAGGUUGGACACCUAAGGCUGGACACAGGUUGGACUGUAAGGUUGGUUUGGCUGGACAUAAAGUGGAUACUACUGGACGGACUCUCUAUGAGGUGAACAAGGUGAACAUUCUACAGGUUGUCCUUAAGGUUGCUUAUGGGUUAAGGAACCUAAAGAUCACACUAUGGUUUUCCCAAGGGUGACUCUAAGAUGACAACACACUAUGGGUUUUCUACAGGAAUGUUUUUUUAAGGGAACCUAUGGGUUUCCUAAAGGUUUAACGAUGGGUUAGACCAUUACCUAUGGUUAGUUACUAGUUACCUAUGGUGACUUACUAAUUAAGUUACCUACAGGUUAG
rnacentral:lncRNA from 1 species